rnacentral:lncRNA from 1 species
GGUGAAUUAAAAUGUAUUUGGAGCCAGUGGUGCUGAACAUAGAAUAAAAAACAAAAAAUAGAGCCCAGACAGGGACACCCAGGCUGGAGGUUGGAGUGGGCCAUAGUCAGAUUUAUUCACCUUUCUAGCAUGGGUUUCAAAGUGCGUAAGGGGAGAAAACACAGCAUGGAUUGUGCUGUGCAUCCUGGACACCGUGCAAGGUGCUCACAGCUGCGAUCUUGUCUCCCACAACUCUCCUGGGCGACAGAUGUCCACUGUCCACAUUUUACAGACAAGGAGAAAGGGAAGUCAAAUGUCCAAGUCCACACAGCUAAAAAGGGGCAGAACUAGGGUGACACUCAGGCCUCAUUUAGAGGUGGGGGAUUGGUGAGAAGUGGGGUGGGCUUCUGGAGGGGCUUGGAGAGCCCCACAAGGCUGCAGAGGGUGGUGAGCCCGGAGUGGGCCUGGCCUGGUGUGGGCUGGGGGUAUGGGUAGGGGCUGCAGACUGCAGGACAGCACCAACGGACCCAGUUUCAGAGGCAAGGGUUCUAGGCCCUUGAGAAUCCAGAGCGUCAAACAGACCCAGAUGGCUACAGGGUUGGUACCUGGGGAGGCCUUAGGACAGGCAGGAAGUCCCAGAGGUGAGGGCAUUGCCUGGGGACAUUUUUGCUCCCUGUCCUGCUGACAGAGCCUAGGAAAUGUGAACGUUUUCUACCCCCUCCUCUCUCGGCUCAGCAGAGCUCCAGCAAGCCAGGUCCUUGUCUGCGGGGACGCAUCAGUCCCUGGCUCUAGGGAAUGGGGAGUCCCACAGACAGAGGGGUGUGAGCAGGCUGAGUGGGUCUGUAAGCAGACACAGAAUUGAGUCAGGAAACAGUUUGAGUGUGGAGUAAGGGGCAGAAACAGGCUGAGGGCGUCUGGGCUUCAAAAUAAUUGACAACCUUUAAAGCAGAAGGGGAAAGUUGUCCAGAAACAAGAGCAGGAGGUUCCGAUCCCAGCCCCUCCCUGAGCCCUGGCCUCUCAGGCCCAUCCCAGGAGGGUCUCCCUGCAGAGCCGUGAAGCAGUUUUGGGUCUCUGCCUGCCACUCAGAGUGAGGUCUGCAGCCGGUCCUCAGCGGGCAGAGUCAGGAUGAAUGGGCUGAGGACCCCUGUGCUCCCCAAGGGGAAGGGCUGCAGCUCCUUGGCCUGGAACUGGGCAGUCCCCCCAGAGACCGUGAACGUGGCAGUGACCUGGGGGUUGAGGCAGUAAAUGGUGUUACCCAGGGUGGUGCAGCGCAGUGGGGCGGGGGCGGGCAGGGGCAGGGAGGCAGCCCUGCUCCAGGAGCCGGUCACCGUGUUGUAGCGCAUCACCGCCGCGCCCACACCCCGCAGUAGGUCGAAACGGUAUAAGAAGCCCCCGAGUGCCACGAUGUCGCUGGAACGCCGGUGGCUGGCACUGUAUGGGCACUCGUCCCAAGCAUCCUUCACGGGGCUGUACCUGAGCAGGCGGUAGAAGAGGUGACCCCCU